rnacentral:tRNA from 1 species
CAAAGGAUAGUUUAUUUAAAAUAUUAAUUUUGGAGAUUAAAGAUAAAAGUAAUUUUUUCCUUUGA